rnacentral:rRNA from 1 species
AACGAACGCUGGCGGCAGGCCUAACACAUGCAAGUCGAACGCCCUCUUCGGAGGGAGUGGCAGACGGGUGAGUAACGCGUGGGAACCUUCCCUGUGGUACGGAAUAACUCAGAGAAAUUUGAGCUAAUACCGUAUACGCCCUUCGGGGGAAAGAUUUAUCGCCAUAGGAUGGGCCCGCGUCGGAUUAGCUAGUUGGUGAGGUAAUGGCUCACCAAGGCAACGAUCCGUAGCUGGUCUUAGAGGAUGAUCAGCCACACUGGGACUGAGACACGGCCCAGACUCCUACGGGAGGCAGCAGUGGGGAAUAUUGGACAAUGGGCGCAAGCCUGAUCCAGCCAUGCCGCGUGAGUGACGAAGGCCUUAGGGUUGUAAAGCUCUUUUGGCGGGGACGAUAAUGACGGUACCCGCAGAAUAAGCCCCGGCUAACUUCGUG